CUCCUGGAACUGACUGCUGCCCUC
rnacentral:siRNA from 1 species